CAGGGGGCCAAAGCCCCAGUUCCCACCUCGCUGGUGACAAUGCCAGGAUGCUGUGCCAUCACUACCGUCUUCACUCACCUGCAAAUCCUCGCUCUGUGAUGACGCCACCAUUCUCUGCUGGACUGCAGGAGGAAAGUGAAGCUUCCAGGAUGCUCAAUACUGAAGCAUCCUGAAUUACAAAGCUGGAUGCUGAGCUAUGCACUCCAAGACUCCCACUGACUACAUCCGAGCAAUCACCACUGGCUCUGCUUUACGGCUUGGGAACAUUUCAACUAUUAAAUCUGCCUGAGAGGAAAUGAAGUGACGUUGGCCGGGUUCCUUCUUAUCUUGGUUUCAUCUAACAAAGCAAGCCAGUAGUCAAUGGAAACCUAAAGGGAAAAGCCGCUCACGUCGCACACCCGCACACCGGAUGUGGAAGUCAGAGGACCGCCUACCCAGAGUCACGUGGAGUGCUGUUGCUCGAGCCGAUUAAAAAGGCUGCGAGUCAGGAUAACAGCAUCCGCCAGGUACGCUGAUUCUUCAAUCAGCUGCGUUCACCAGAAGAACAAGAUGCCUGUGGACAUGGAAAGAAGAAAACUGUAUCUAAGAAAAAGACUACUGUGGGCUGUUUCAGAAUAAAAUCCAGAGGGGAGAGAGAGAGACCAUGCACUACAUACAAAAAUUCCCAUUUCCCCCCAGAGCACAUUGAGUCCCUGUUGAGUAUGUCUCCAGGAGGAAUGAUGGAAUACUCUGACUCCACACAGCAAGCUUAACCUUCAGGCCUUCCACCGAGCCUUCCUGGGGCUUAAAAUAUAAACAUAUAAAGUUUCUACUUCUAUUUCCUAAGAAGUACACUUCA